rnacentral:rRNA from 1 species
UACGUAGGGGGCGAGCGUUGCCCGGAAUCAUUGGGCGUAAAGGGCGCGCAGGCGGCCCGAUUUGUCGUGGGUGAAAUCGCUCGGCUCAACCGAGCGCGGUCCUGCGAAACGGUCGGGCUGGAGCAAGGCAGGGGGUCGUGGAAUUCCCGGUGUAGUGGUGGAAUGCGUAGAGAUCGGGAGGAACACCAGUGGCGAAGGCGGCGACCUGGGCCUGGGCUGACGCUGAGGCGCGAAAGCGUGGGGAGCGAUCCGG